AUUGAACGCUGGCGGCAUGCUUUACACAUGCAAGUCGAACGGUAACAGGGUGCUUGCACCGCUGACGAGUGGCGAACGGGUGAGUAAUGCGUCGGAACGUGCCGAGUAGUGGGGGAUAACGCAUCGAAAGGUGUGCUAAUACCGCAUACGUACUGAGGUAGAAAGUGGGGGACCUUCGGGCCUCACGCUAUUCGAGCGGCCGACGUCUGAUUAGCUAGUAGGUGAGGUAAAGGCUCACCUAGGCGACGAUCAGUAGCGGGUCUGAGAGGAUGAUCCGCGACACUGGGACUGAGACACGGCCCAGACUCCUACGGGAGGCAGCAGUGGGGAAUUUUGGACAAUGGGCGAAAGCCUGAUCCAGCCAUGCCGCGUGUCUGAAGAAGGCCUUCGGGUUGUAAAGGACUUUUGUCGGGGAGGAAAUCCCCAGCGUUAAUACCGCUGGGGGAUGACAGUACCUGAAGAAUAAGCACCGGCUAACCACGUGCCAGCCGCCGCCGUAAAAC
rnacentral:rRNA from 1 species